GGUUCCAUAGUGUAGCGGUCAGCACGCCUGCCUCUGAAGCAAGUCCUGGGUUCGAUUCCCAGAGGAACCA